rnacentral:lncRNA from 1 species
GGUAUAAUUGCAUAACUGGUAAAAAACAAAAACAAAAAAAGCUGACAAAAAAUAAAGGAGACGGAAAAAAGUGAGAGUGUGUGAUUUCCGAAGCUCCGCCCCCUUCAUUUAUAACAACAGCUGUGUCAUCGUCAGCCAGGAUUUCAGUAGGAGUAGAAGAAGAAAAGUAGGUGUUAGAAGUAGAAGUAGAAGAAGUCGGUGUUAUUCUUCACAGCUAGCUGUUUCUGUUGGAGUGUGUUCGUGUGUGAACGGAGCACUAAUGUCGGCCGUGGGACCCAACAUGCAGAGCGUCACAUGUGACCUGGGGCGUCCGUGCCACCUCACGUGCACACAUCGUUUAUCAGGCAUCACUGACCUGAACUGGGUGAAGUAUUCUGGUUCCCAUCCACGUCUUUAUGGAGACCACGGUGACGAGGAGACGUUCAUCCACCCUGACUACAGGGGGAAGCUGUCUGUGAGCAGGUACGGGGAGUCUGAACAUGGUCUGGUGUCUGACCUGUGUCUGAAGGAGCCUGGGGUCCACUCUGAGUCUGUGUACCUCAGCCAGGCCAGGAACCAUUUAGACCAGUUCAGCCACUGCUUCCUCAACCUCACAGUGAAAGCGCCAGUGGUGGACAUUGACAUCAGGAAAGAGAGGAACCAGAUCGUCUGCCGCUCAAAGAAAAACUAUCCCGAGCCUCAGCUGGAGUGGCUUCUCGACCCUUUCUGGGAAAAUGCGAACAAAUCCAAGUUGGUGCAGCGUGACCCGGACGGACUGUUGAGCGUGCAGAACUUCCUGGACCUCCCACACUCAGAGGAAGUGGACGGAAACCACGCCGUCAGCUGUGUCGUCAGCAGGGACCAUGACUGGAAGAGGGGCACGUGGACCCAACGGGCUCUCCUCACCUCCCCCGAUGUCGACCCCUGGAUCCCGUGCGUUCCAGACUCCAAUGAGACGUUCCACAGCGUCACCUGGACAUUCAACCAGGAGCAUCACAUCCUGUCACAGAACGGCAGCAGCAAAGCUUCACUCGUGGUGUCCGACGAUUGGAAGGAGAACGUGAAGGACGUGUCUGCGUGGGGCGACCUGCAGCUCAACGCUUUCAGUCCAGAGAAGGAGGGGCUCUACACCUGCGUGGCCAAAGGUGCAGCGGACACUUUCGUUACCGACACCAUCCUGAAUGUGGACCAAGGGAACCCCAUGCUGCCUUGGUUUCUUAUAUUUUUCCUGGGAGCGUUCAUCCUCCUGGUCGUCCUGAAGAACUUUAUCUGUGCGACGGUGACGAGUAAAGUCUUUAUUGAAGACUCCGCCUCCUUCACCAGAACAAAAAACCACUGGAUUCCAACUGGUCCAUAUUAGGAAAUGUGAAAUGUUUCAGAUCCAGCUUUUCCCAAACGGAGACCAGCCGUCACGUCCUCAUCAUCACACAUUAAAGUUCUCGUGAACAGGUGGAGUUGUUCACACUGAAACAUGCUAGUAGCUCUGUUGCUGUAGCUUUUAGUUGAUAAUUAAGUUUCCUUUCAUAUGUUUUGCUCAUGCUUGGUAGGAAUUCUUUAUUUCUUCUCAUGUUUGUCACAACAGUCGUCCCAGCCUUACAGAUUCAUAGCGUUCACACUUUAUUUAUUUACGCUGUUUACAAAGAGUUUUUGGUAACAACCGUCAAAGUUAAACUCUUGUAGUUGGAACCCAUCAUCCUAAUUGUUUACAUGUGUGCAGUUUCGACACUCAAUAGUUUUGUGAGUCUUAGCCACGGUUUUCCGAUAUUUGUAACAUUCCCCGUUCCCGCGCUGCAUCCCGUGAACCUCGUUUGUCACUGUGUGGUAACCAGGCAAUGCUAGUCUGAUAUUUUACUUUUUUAUUUUUACUUCAAGUUUAGGAAGAAGGUCAUCACUCCCCAAACAGUCAGAUUUGCUAGCAUGCUAU